CCUACGGGUGGCAGCAGUGAGGAAUAUUGGUCAAUGGUCGGGAGACUGAACCAGCCAAGCCGCGUGAGGGAGGAAGGUACAGAGUAUCGUAAACCUCUUUUGUCAGGGAACAAAGGCGGGGACGUGUCCUCGGAUGAGUGUACCUGCAGAAAAAGCAUCGGCUAACUCCGUGCCAGCAGCCGCGGUAAUACGGAGGAUGCGGGCGUUAUCCGGAUUUAUUGGGUUAAAGGGGUGCGAAGGGGGUCUGUAAGGUCAGCGGGCAAAGCCCGGGGCUAAACCCCGGCCAGCCGUUGAAACUGGCAGUCUCGAGUUGGAGAGAAGUAUGCGGAAUGCGCGGUGUAGCGGUGAAAUGCAUAGAUA
rnacentral:rRNA from 1 species